UACGAAGGGGGCUAGCGUUGUUCGGAAUCACUGGGCGUAAAGCGCGCGUAGGCGGACUUUUAAGUCAGGGGUGAAAUCCCGGGGCUCAACCUCGGAACUGCCUUUGAUACUGGAAGUCUUGAGUUCGAGAGAGGUGAGUGGAAUACCGAGUGAUAGAGGUGAAAUUCGUAAGAUAUUCGGUGGAACACCAAGUGGCGAAAGGCGGCUCACUGGCUCGAUACUGACGCUGAGGUGCGAAAAGCGUGGGGGAGCAAAACAGGAUUAGAUACCCCGGGUAGUCC
rnacentral:rRNA from 1 species